CUGUAAUCAGUUGUGUAUAGGACACUCGCGUGUGCGCGUCGAUUGCUGCUUUUUAGGCUGCUUUGCUUGCUUGCUUGGCUUUUUGCUUUGUCGCUCCGUUUUGCAAGCGAAUGUAAGCGACAACAGUAACAACAACAACAAGAAGAAGAACAAGAGCGACAACAACAGCGAAAGCGACAACAACGAAACGAGCUAACGAAAAAUUACAAUGUGUGUGUGUGCGUGUGUGCGUGAAGGAAAGAAGUAAGGUGAAGUGAGUGACAAGUUGGCAAAAAAUAAAGAACCGAAAAUGGAACAACAACAACAAAUGAAAUGUGCGCAACUAUGCAAAUAAAUUAAUAAGCCAAAGUCAUUACCAAAUUAAAACGAGACACGCGAAAAGCAGCAUACAACAAAAUAAAAACAUAGAGAGAGAAAGAGAGAGAGAGAGAGAGAGUGAGAAGCCAAAGCCAAGGAAAGUAAAGUAAAGGCAAGGCUCAAGUCAAGUGCGUUGAGUGGCAAAGUCAAGAGCUGCUGCUGAAGUAGCUGCUGGCAUGCUUAGAGAGACCCCAAGAAACGGAAAGAGAGGUUAACUCGUCCGUUGUCCUCGUCGCCGUCAAAGGCAUCGAAGCAAUGCUUGCCUCAUUAGCGACUUAGCCGCGUCAAAAUGCAAAGGUGAAGGAAGCCAAAAAAAUAAAAAUAAAAAAAUAUACUCGACCGCAAAAACGGAAUAAUCACUGAAAGAGUUUUUCUUCCCUCUGCACAAGGACGAGAAAUUGAAUAUAUUUAAGGAAAUAUAUAUAUACAUAAUAUAU